rnacentral:rRNA from 1 species
AGAGUUGUAUCCUGGCUCAGAUUGAACGCUGGCGGGAUGCUUUACACAUGCAAGUCGAACGGCAGCAUAGAGAGCUUGCUCUCUGAUGGCGAGUGGCGAACGGGUGAGUAAUAUAUCGGAACGUGCCCAGUAAUGGGGAAUAACUAGCCGAAAGGUUAGCUAAUACCGCAUACGACCUACGGGUGAAAGCAGGGGAUCUUAGGACCUUGCGUUAUUGGAGCGGCCGAUAUCUGAUUAGCUUGUUGGUGGGGUAAAAGCCUACCAAGGCAACGAUCAGUAGCUGGUCUGAGAGGACGAUCAGCCACACUGGAACUGAGACACGGUCCAGACUCCUACGGGAGGCAGCAGUGGGGAAUUUUGGACAAUGGGGGAAACCCUGAUCCAGCCAUCCCGCGUGAGUGAAGAAGGCCUUCGGGUUGUAAAGCUCUUUCGAAAGUGAAGAAAACUUAUUUCGUAAUAUGUUAUAAGUAUGACGGUAACUUUAGAAGAAGCACCGGCUAACUACGUGCCAGCAGCCGCGGUAAUACGUAGGGUGCGAGCGUUAAUCGGAAUUACUGGGCGUAAAGCGUGCGCAGGCGGUUUUGUAAGUCAGAUGUGAAAUCCCCGAGCUUAACUUGGGAACUGCGUUUGAAACUACAAGACUAGAGUGUGUCAGAGGGGGGUAGAAUUCCACGUGUAGCAGUGAAAUGCGUAGAGAUGUGGAGGAAUACCAAUGGCGAAGGCAGCCCCCUGGGAUAACACUGACGCUCAUGCACGAAAG